rnacentral:rRNA from 1 species
GACGUAGGGCGCGAGCGUUGUCCGGAUUUAUUGGGCGUAAAGAGCUCGUAGGCGGCUUGUCGCGUCGACUGUGAAAUCCCGAGGCUCAACCUCGGGUCUGCAGUCGAUACGAGCAAACUAGAGUGUUGCAGGGGAGACUGGAAUUCCUGGUGUAGCGGUGAAAUGCGCAGAUAUCAGGAGGAACACCGGUGGCGAAGGCGGGUCUCUGGGCAACAACUGACGCUGAGGAGCGAAAGCGUGGGGAGCGAACAGG